AUAAGCCAUGCAUGUCUAAGUUCACAACAAGUUGGAAACUGCGAAGCGCUCAGUAAAUCAGUUAUGUUCCUUCGAUCGUAGUACCACAUCGGAUAACUGUGGCAAAUCUAGAGCUAAUACGUGCGAAAAUACUACCUGUAGUGGCAUUUAUUAGUAUAAAACACUUUUGUGUAGGUGAAUCUAGAUAACUUGCAUAUCAUCAAAGAUGAUGUUCGAUCGAAUUUCUGCCCUAUCAUUUUGUCGGUGAGGUAGUGGCUCACCGAGGAUGCAACGGGUAACGGGGAAUCAGGGUUCGAUUCCGGAGAGGGAGCCUGAGAAACGGCUACCACAUCCAAGGAAGGCAGCAGGCGCGCAAAUUACCCAAUCCAGACACUGGGAGGUAGUGACGAGAAAUACCGAAUCAUGCACUGUUAUCCGACUAUCUUGAUUUAAUAAAUCUCGUUUUUAUUGGAGGGCAAGUCGGGGGCCAGCAGCCCCGGUAAUUCCAGCUCCAAUAGUAGACAUCAAAAUUGUUGCACUUAAAACGCUCGUAAUUGGAUUGCAGCCGUGUGGAUUGCUUUAAAGGUCAUCUCCCGGAAAAUUUUGCAGGCCUCGUUGCCUACUUCACUGUAUCACAAAUUACCUGCAACGCGUGCCUUGAAUAAAGCAUAGUGCUCAAAACAGGCGUAAGCUCGAGUGUAUAGCAUGGAACGAAUCCGCCCAUUUAGUGGUUGAUUAAAAGGAACAUUAAGGGGCAUUAGUACUUGAUGGCGAGAGGUGAAAUUCUUAAGCCCGUCAAAGACUGACUAUUGCCGAAAGCAUUUGCCAAAGAAUGUUUCAUUAACUCAAGAACCGAAAGUAAAGGCUCGAAGACGAUCAGAUACCCGUCCCUAGUUUAACGUGAUAAAACAUUUCCACUUCGCAUUAUCCCAAGUAAGCGGCACGACACUUAUUCACAAGAGUUUGGUCGACUCGCGCUUACAAGGAAUUCCUCUUUCAUGAGCAAUAAUUACAAGGCUCAAUCCAUAGAUGAAAACAUUUCCGAGAUUGCCCUUCCUCUCGGAAAAAACUUUUUGCAGGGCAACUUACCAGGUCCAGACUGGAAGGAUUGACAGACUGAAGAUCUUUCAUAUUCAUGAUUGGUGGUGCAUGGCCGUUCUUAGUUGGUGGAGUGAUCUGUCAGGUUAUUCCGGUAACGAACGAGAUUUCCCUAUUUCCUCUGUGAUAGGGAGACUACUGAAAGUAGGAGUAGCAAUAACAGGUCUGUGAUGCCCUUCGAUGUCCUGGGCUGCACGCGCGCUACAAUGAAAACCAAAAAGUCUGAGAGGGAACUAAUGUUUUCUGCUUGGAUUGAGCCUGUAAUUAUUGCUCAUGAAAGAGGAAUUCCUGUAAGCGAGUCACCACUGUGUUGAAUACGUCUCUGCCUUGUACACACCGCCCGUCGCUACACCGAUUAUAUUCAAGAGUGGAUUUUGCUUGUGAGAGAGAA
rnacentral:rRNA from 1 species